UAGUAUUAAUGAAAUUUAACGGAUUUGGCGGCAAGAUAACCAUUUAGAGGAACCUGCCCUAUAAACGAUGAACCACGAAAAUCUUACUUUUUUUAGAAAUCAGUUUGUAUACCGUUGUUGGCAGUUAGUUUCUCUAGAAAACUUUCAUUUAUGAAAUAUUCACUGACUUCAAGUAAAGGUGCAGCUUAUAGAAAAGGUAGAGGUGGGUUACAUUUAAAAGAAUAACACGGAUAAAGUUAUUGAAAUUAGCUUUUGAAGGUGGAUUUAAUUGUAAAGUUUAAUAAAACUUGAUAUGAGCUCUGUCUUGUGUACACACCGCCCGUCC
rnacentral:rRNA from 1 species